CCUUCCUCUUUCUCUGUUGCAGAACAACAACUAAGAAACAACUCUUUUGAUGUCCUAGCAUCCCCAUCGUUUCAAUCUGAAAAUUUGAUGCAGCAAAGAAACAAACUGUCCAAAAGAAAGAAACAACUAAAGAUUUAAAUCAGUCUCUUGCAGUGGAGCAUCUACAUCAAAAUCAUCUUCAAAUUACUCAUCUGGACCUCGAGAAGAAACAGAAUAUCAGAGGCCAAUCUUCUCAGUUAACCUUCAAAUCCCACUCCAUAGACAAUUAUAACUAUAACCCGUUCCAACACCGAAUCAUCACGAUCCCAAAAUCCAACCCAGUCAACUCCGUUUCACCUAAUGAACCAAAAUACCCUUCGGGGUUUGAACCAAUCCCAAAAAAACAAAAAUCAGUACGAACAAUCUUCUGCUAUUCCGGUUCCUUCGAUUAGAAAAUGGACCAGGAAAACCACCAAAAAUCCAACUCCUCAUCUCUCAUUUCUUAUCCUCUUUCUAGUUAUGAUUUAACCCUCUCUGGAAACAGAAAAAUUAACAACCCUAACUCCACUAAAAAGAAGAACAAACUUGAUAGUUCAAAUCCCCUUCCAACUGGUAAUUUGCUAGCAAUUGAGACAAUUGAUUCUUUUAUCCAAAAUUUCAUUCCAGGAUCUUUCUCAAACCCUAACUCUGGCAUCAAAAAGACCAAAAUUACUAAAUCCAGAAAGAUGAACAAAGGUUCCAAUCAGAUGACAAAGGCUACUAAGGAAAGAGAUAAUCAUGUUGUUUAUGAAGGCCUAUUGCUUAAUCUCUCGAGUUUUUCUCACACCCAGGUAACACCAUUGGAAGGAAGAGCUUCUCUAUCAGAGCCACUCCAUAGAUGAAGGGGACAGCCUAGCAGCUUUGGAAACACUACAAUGGGCAAGAAUUUUGAAGUGCAGUCAAAUAAACAUUGCUGGAAGAAACAUAAGACUCACUAGGACAAUGCAAAGGAAGGAAAAAUCAACUUGCUGGCAAGCAAAUUGCACGGUUGAAAAAAAUUAUGCACUUGAUGGAUAUUUUCAGUAGUUUAUUUUGUAAGGACUUCAAGUCCAAAAACUUUAAAGAUAUAUGUAAUUUAGCUAAAAUGGGCUACUCUCAGCUAAUGCCUAACUAUUUGCUAGACAAUCACCAGUUAAAUGCUCUUAUGUAAUCGUUUUCCUUUUUUUUUUUUUAAAAAAAAGAAGAUCAUAGUCAAUUGUAGAUUUAGGCUCA